rnacentral:rRNA from 1 species
ACGGGUGAGUAAUAUAUCGGAACGUGCCCAAUCGUGGGGGAUAACGUAGAGAAAUUUACGCUAAUACCGCAUACGAUCUAAGGAUGAAAGCGGGGGAUCGCAAGACCUCGCGCGAUUGGAGCGGCUGAUAUCAGAUUAUAUUGUUGGUGAGGUAAAAGCUCACCAAGCCGACGAUCUGUAGCUGGUUUGAGAGAACGACCAGCCACACUGGGACUGAGACACGGCCCAGACUCCUACGGGAGGCAGCAGUGGGGAAUUUUGGACAAUGGGCGAAAGCCUGAUCCAGCAAUGCCGCGUGCAGGAAGAAGGCCUUCGGGUUGUAAACUGCUUUUGUACGGAACGAAACGGCUCUUUCUAAUAAAGAGGGCUAAUGACGGUACCGUAAGAAUAAGCACCGGCUAACUACGUGCCAGCAGCCGCGGUAAUACGUAGGGUGCGAGCGUUAAUCGGAAUUACUGGGCGUAAAGCGUGCGCAGGCGGUUAUAUAAGACAGUUGUGAAAUCCCCGGGCUCAACCUGGGAAUUGCAUCUGUGACUGUAUAGCUAGAGUACGGUAGAGGGGGAUGGAAUUCCGCGUGUAGCAGUGAAAUG